AAAGAAACCAACAGGGAUUGCCCCAGUAACGGCGAGUGAAGCGGCAAGAGCUCAAAUUUGAAAGCUGGCUCCUUCGGGGUCCGCAUUGUAAUUGGCAGAGGAUGUUUCGGGAGCGGCCCCCAUCUAAGUGUCCUGGAACGGACCGUCAUAGAGGGUGAGAAUCCCGUAUGGGAUGGGGUGCCCGCGCCCAUGUGAAACUCCUUCGACGAGUCGAGUUGUUUGGGAAUGCAGCUCUAAAUGGGUGGUAAAUUUCAUCUAAAGCUAAAUAUUGGCCGGAGACCGAUAGCGCACAAGUAGAGUGAUCGAAAGAUGAAAAGCACUUUGAAAAGAGAGUUAAAAAGCACGUGAAAUUGUUGAAAGGGAAGCGUUUGCGAUCAGACUCGCCGACGGGGUUCAGCCUGCCUUCGGGCAGGUGUACUUCCCCGCCGGCGGGCCAGCGUCGGUUUGGGCGGCCGGUCAAAGGCUCUGGGAAUGUAACGCCUCUCGGGGCGUCUUAUAGCCCAGGGUGUCAUGCGGCCUGCCCGGACCGAGGAACGCGCUUCGGCUCGGACGCUGGCAUAAUGGUCGUAAACGAC
rnacentral:rRNA from 1 species